CACUCUACAUGCUCCAGGGGACCAAGCAUGGACACAGCUGGGAAAUGCCACCUGGACUGAGCCCCCCCAAAGAAUAUGCAAGAGCUCCGUAAGCUAAACAAAAACUCCACAAAACAUUGCAUAUUUCACUAGAAACAGUUUUGCUGUUGCUGGUUCUGCCUUCACCUCCACUGCAAUUUAGUGAUCCAUAAAGAUGUUGAGGACACUCACAUCCUUUAAAUGCACCCCGCUGAGUGGCCCUAAUGAAGUCAGUGGGAGCACCAGUCUAUGCCAAUCGAGAGUACUUACAAACAAACAAAACCCCUCCGAGGUCAUCUCCUGAUGUUCAAGGACAGAAAGUUUGCUAACAGUAGACCAUGAGAGGCCUCUCUGAAGAAUAAGGAAGAAGAAUUAAAGAAAAAAAGAUAGGCUGAUGUCAACUUUUCCGUCUCCUCAGAUGGCACAGUGAGAAGCAGGAACAGAGAGCAGACCGGACAACAGGCCAAAUAAAGUUGUUCUUCUGGCUUGGGUGGUGCUGGCACCAAGCCCAGAUCUCAUUCUCCUGACAUCUCCUUUCUGUCCUAUGACAUCUUU